UUCGUCGUCCUCUCACGUGCCCGGCAUGUGGAUUGAAAACAUUGUGUUCUUCGCGCAUCGCGCGCCUCUUCUCCUCUGACGGUAUCCCAUGUGCCUCCUGCUGCGUUGUCUGCCGCGCUGCCUAUCUGGUAAACUUGUUUCUCUGUCCGGGACUAUCACAUGGCUCUUCUUACCGCUACCGUCUCUCUCUCUCUCCUUCUUUUGGACAAUGCUGCUUCUAAGCCUGCUUCACCGCCCUGCUCAGAUAUCCGGUUCUCUUCAUUCGUUGCUUAAGCUGUGGCUUUGGGGUUUGCUCUUCCCUUCUCUUCUUCCGUGCCGCACAAGGCCCGUAUAGCCAGACAUCGGCCAAUUCUAGGUUUCAGUGGUCGGGAUCAGCUGCCGCCCGUUCGCUUCUCUUCCUCCUCCUCCGUUGCCAAGGAGUUGCCGUCUUUUACCUUUUUCCCCAUCCAGAACGCAGGCCUUCUGUUUUUUCUCUCGAACCAAGGUACAGGUCUAAUUUUGAUUCAAAUGAUUGGAGCACACAGUUGGCAAGGACUUAAAAUUUAAAACUGGUUAUGAUUCAGAGGUGCAAUUUGGGUGGACAUCUCUUUGGGUUGGUAACAGGAUUAUCAGGAUGAGGAUUCAUGUUUGCGUAGAGCAUGUUUAGCCUUCUCGAUGCAACGAGGAAAUCAAGUAUAGAAUCAGGAGAAAUGAUGAAUUGAAGGCUGCAGCAAAGGCAAGAGGUGAGGUCAUCAGUACCAAGAGGCAACCUGAAGGCCCCAAACCUGGUUUCGUGGUAGAAGGUGCAACUUUAGAGACUGUAACCCCAAUUCCAUAUGAUGUGGUCAAUGAUCUCAAAGGGGUUACUAAGUUCAUACUGUGUUGGAGUUCUCUCCGUUUGUUUAUCGCUUAAACAAUUAAAGACUUGAAAAUCUGUUUUUCCCCUCAUAGACUUCAAAUUAGUGCAGACUUGGUAUUUUUUGCAAUAUUAGUAGGGCCAUUGGCCAUUCAGUUUUGUGUUUAGUGAAAGUAAUGUUGACAAAAUGAUGAUGUGGUACUUGUUUCCAACAAUUUUUGUUUACGUGCAAUGUCAAUUUUGUUGCCGGACUUGA